CCAUUGGUGGUUCAGUGGUAGAAUGCUCGCCUGCGACACUGGCGGCCCGAGUUCGAUUCCCCGCCGAUGCA